rnacentral:sRNA from 1 species
UCCUACUGGUUUUUUAUACAUUUUAUCGU